rnacentral:rRNA from 1 species
GCGGUAAUUCAAGCUCCAAUAGCGUAUAUGUAAAUUGUUGCGGUUGAAAAGCUCGUAGUUGGACUUCUGGCGACUGCGUUCGGUCCGCCAAGCGCGUGCACUGUCCGCGGUCGUCGUUUCUGUCGACGUGGCGCGUCGGCCUUAGUUGGUCGGUGCGUCGUCUGUCGGCGAUGUUACUUUGAGGAAAUCAGAGUGCUCAAGGCAAGCGUUCGCUCGUGACUUCACUAGCAUGGAAUAACACAGAUGGGCUCUUUCUCGCACUGUUGGUCUGCGUCAAUUGAGCAACGAUCGAUAGAGACGGUCGGGGGCAUUCGUAUUGCGCAGUUAGAGGUGAAAUUCUCCGAUCUGCGCAAGACGUACUAAUGCGAAAGCAGUUGCCAAGGACGUCCUCUUAUGAUCAAGAGCGAAAGUCGGGGGAUCAAAGAUGAUUAGAUACCGUCGUAGUCCCGACCAUAAAUGAUGCCGACUGAGCUUCGGCGACUCGACCUCAGGUCGUACGUCGGCGCUCUUAGAGAAAUUAAAGUCUUUGGGCUCCGGGGGUAGUAUGGUCGCAAGUCUGAAACUUGAAGGAAUUGACGGAAGGGCACCACAAGGCGUGGAUGUUGCGGCUUAAUUUGACUCAACACGGGAAAGCUUACUAGGUUUGGACACCUUUGUGAUGGACAGAUUGAAGCUCUUACCCUACUGCGUGGAUGGUGGUGCAUGGUCGUUCUCAGCCCGUGGGUUGACCUGUCAGGUUUACUCCGGUAACGCGCGAGACCUCGGUCUGCUAAAUAGACGCGGCUGUUUCGGCACCCGCGCUCUUCUUAGAGAGAGACUCGACGAGAGUCGAGGGAAGUCGAGGCAAUAACAGAUCUGUGAUGCCCUUAGUUAUCCUAGGUCGCACGCGCCAUACAAUGUGGCGCACAACGAGUCUCCUUGGCCGACAGGAUCUGGGCAAUCUGGCAGAGCGCUACGUGACUGGGCUAGACUUUUGUAAUUUUUGGUCUUGAACGAGGAAUGCCUAGUAAUCGCAGGUCAGCAUCCUGCGAUGAUUCGGUCCCUGCCCUUUGUACACUCCGCCCGUCGCUCCAUCCGUGGCAUGCGCCGCUGAAGAGGGGGAGGCAGCGUCGGCCGGGUAACACCGGAUCGUACGUGGAACCCCUCUGAACCUUCGCACGUAGAGGAAGGAGAAGUCGUAACAAGGUUUUCGUAGGUGAACCUGCGAAAGGAUCAUUAUCGGCAC